rnacentral:lncRNA from 1 species
CGGAACCCCUGUCAAUCUCUGCCACAACCAGCAACCAAACAAAACCAAGGUCUACACAAAAAUCCACCAAAAUUCAUCAAUAUUUCAAAAAUUCAGCACUUAAGCUAAUAUCAUCCAAUUCCAAUGUCAACUUUACCUUCAAAACUCAAAUUCAGAUGAGAAGCAGUCUCAAAUCCAGAGAACUAUGAUGGAGUAUCAAUCUCAGGUUGCAAUUCCAGCUCCCUCCAAGAAUUAGUCCAAGAAAAUCAAAGAAACUCAAUUUCAGGUCCAAAAUCCGAGCAGCUCAGGAAAACACGAAAUUGACUAUACAAACCUCAAUAAAUUUCUGUCAAAAUAGGCUCCACGAAUUUCACUUGAAGUCCAGAAUCCAACAAAUCAAAUUUUGUGAAAAACGGAGCUUCCUAUGUCGCACACGGGCCAAAACGCCGAAGGUCGCUGUUGGAAUCUGCUGAAACUGCAGCCUUUAAACUUCAAUUUGAGGAAUUUGGAGUAAUUUGGGAAGUUUGGAGGGGUUGAAAUGCAAUUGUAGGCUUCACUGUGAAGAGGAGGUGAAAAGAGCUCACCAGGGACGUACUCUCUCUAUUUAUAGGGUGAUCAAACGGUCAGAUAAGCCUCAGGAACAAAAGAGGUUAACUUGCAGGUUCUGCAGAAAACCACACUUUUGGGCGCCCAAAACCCCUUUCUGGGCGUCCGAAACCUCCAGGCUACAUACUUGCUCCCCUUCGGUUCCUCCGGCAGUGGUGUGCUGCACCCAUAUGCGACUCCGGCGGAGCUCACCUACCACCAGCCACGUGUCAGCGCAAACGAUACUCACGAAGUAAAUUUUCGAACCCACUUCUGGGAGCUCAAAACAAGAAUCCGAAUUGGCUUCCAGUUCUACUCAGCUCGGCACUUACGUUCUGGGCGACCCAAACCAGUUCUGGGCACCCGAAACUAGCAAAACUCCAGUUUUGCUCAUUUGAGUGCGCAGAAUCCAUUUUUGCAUCUAUUUCGUACAAAAACAACUCCGACUCAGUCCGACACUCUCUAGAUGUGUCGACCAGUCACUAAUACUGAAGCCAAUCCUAUCCAAACCUCAGGAGCACUACAUCCUCCUCCAGUACAAAAAGUUUCGUCCUUGAAACUUAAAUUCAUACCUCAAACCGGCGCAUCAAACAAGUAGGGGUAGGAUUCCCUCAUCACUGUCUCAAGCUCCCAUGUCGCCUCUCGCUCCUCGUGAUUACUCCACUGCACCUUUACAUAAGGAAUGACCGAGCUGCACAAUUCUUUCGUUUCACGAGCUAGAAUUCGCACCGGUCGCUCCUCAUAUCUCAGGUUCUCGCCCAGUUCAAGCGGAGUGAAGUCAAUCACGUGAGAGGGAUCGAACACAUAUUUCCUCAAUGCUGAGACAUGGAAAAUAUCGUGAAUACCGGCUAGUCGUGGGGGUAGAGCAAUCCUGUAGGCAACUGGCCCAACUCGCUCCAACACCUGACCAACAGAGCGUGGACUGAGCUUUCCAUGCACUCCAAAUCUGCGUAUGCCUCUGGGCGGCGAGACUUUCAGAAAUAUAUGAUCUCCAAUCUGGAACUCUAAGUCUCGUCUCCUGAUAUUGGCGUAGCUCAUCUGGCGGCUCUGGGCUGUCAAAAGGUGUCGUCGCACUGCACUAACCUUUUCCUCUGCCUCUUAUAAAAUUUCAAGUUUUAGCGUCUUUCUUUCACCCACAUUACUCCAAAACAAAGGGGAUCGAUAUUUGUGUCCAUACAACGCCUCAAACGGAGCCAUCUGAAUGCUCGUUUGAUAACUGUUGUUGUACACAAACUCAACCAGUCUCAAAUGUCGAUGCCACCCUCCUCCAAAGUUUAGGAUGCAUGUCCUCAACAUGUCCUCCAGAGUCUGAAUGGUCCGCUCUGACUGACCAUCCGUCUGUGGGUGAAACGCCGUGCUGAAAUGCAACUGUGUACCCAAGACAGUCUGAAGACAUCUCCAAAAGUGCAAAACAAAUCUCGGGUCUUUGUCAGAUACGAUUGAAAUCGGCACACCAUGCAGCCUAACAAUCUCAUCCAGAUACAGCUGUGCGAGUCUCUCCCUGGACCAAGUGGUCUAUACUGGUAGGAAAUGAGCAGACUUAGUCAGUCUGUCCACUAUCACCCAAAUAGCACCCAAAUAGUCAAUCUGUCCACUAUCACCCAAAUAGCAUCGAAACCACCCUGUGCUCUAGGCAAUCACACGACAAAGUCCAUCGUGAUCUGCUCCCAUUUUCACUCGGGCACUGGCAGACUCUGAAGCUUGCCAGCAGGUACCUGAUGCUCUGCCUUUACCUGUUGAGAAGUGAGAUACUGGGUUACAAAUCUGCCAAUGUCUCAUUUCAUUCCAUUCCACUAGAACUGUGCCUUUAGAUCCUUAUACAUCUUGGUUCCACCAGGGUGAACCGUAUAAGGUGAACAAUGAGCCUUUCUCGAAAUAUCCUCUCGGAUCUCUGAAUUCAUAGGCACAGACAGUCGGUCCCUGUACCGCAGUACUCCCAAACUGUCCACUGUAAAACCCUCUGCAUGUCCUCUCUCUAACUGCUCUCGAAUCCUCAGCAAGUGUGAAUCUCCACUCUGUUUCUCCUGGAUCCUACUCAACAGAGUGGGCUGCAAGACCAUAGACAUCAGUCUUGCAGUAGAUCCAGGGGACACAACCUCGAGUCGCAACCGCUGCAACUCCUCAAGUAACGGCCUCUACUGAGUAAUCAUCAGGCUCAAACUCUACACUGACUUCAGCUCAACGCAUCUGCCACCAUAUUUGCCUUGCCGGGAUGAUACUGAAUACUAAUAUCAUAGUCCUUCAGUAACUCCAACCACCGACGUUGCCUCAAAUUCAACUCCCUUUGGGUGAACAGAUACUUGAGACUCUUAUGAUCAGUAAACACCUCGCAGCGCUUGCCAUAUAAGUAAUGCCGCCACAACUUUAAUACAAAAACCACUGCGGUGAGCUCCAAGUCAUGCGUAGGGUAAUUCUUCUCGUAAUCCUUCAAUUGCCGUGAAGUAUAAGCAAUUACCUUACCAUGCUGCAUCAGCACACAGCCCAAACUACUGUGCGAUGCAUCACUGUAGAUCACAAAUCCUUCCCCCAUCACUGAAAGGGCAAGGAUAGGAGCCGACGUCAACCUCUGUUUCAACUCAUCGAAGCUCCUCUGACAAUCCUCACUCCAGUGAACUUAAUUUCUUUACGAGUCAAUCGAGUGAUGGGUGUGGAAAGCUUCGCAAAGACUUCCACAAACCGACGGUAAUAUCCAGCAAGUCCAAGGAAACUCCUCACCUCCGUCACCGUCGUCGGUCUGGGCUAAUCCUGAAUAGCAUCAAUCUUCUUCAGGUCCACUGUUACUCUAACUGCAGAAAUCACAUGGCCCAAGAAAGCAACCUCCAGUAACCAAAACUCGCACUUCUUCAACUUGGCAUACAACUUCUUCUCUCUCAGAAGUUGUAGCACAAUCCUCAAGUGCUUCUCAUGCUCGGUAUCACUCCGGAAGUAUAUCAAGAUAUCAUUUAUGAACACCAUUACAAAUCUAUCCAAGAACGGCUUGAAUACUCUGUUCAUCAAAUCCAUAAAUGCGGCAGGGGCAUUUGUCAAUCCAAAAGGCAUAAGAUAAACUCAUAAUGCCCGUACCGAGUCCGAAAAGCCGUCUUGGGAACAUCCUCGACCCUCAUCCUCAACUGGUGGUAACCUGACUGGAGAUCUAUCUUCAAGAAGACACAAGAUCCUUGCAGCUAAUCAAACAGAUCAUCAAUGCGCGGCAAAGGAUACUUAUUCUUGACGGUCACUUUAUUUAGCUCUCUGUAAUCCACACACAAUUUAAGUGAACCAUCAUUCUUCUUCACGAAUAACACCGGCGCUCCCUAAGGCGACACACUGGGUCUCACAUACCCCUUAUCCAUCAGAUCCUGAAACUGCGCCUUUAGUUCUCUCAGCUCUGCCGGUGCCAUCCAGUAAGGUGCCUUCGAGAUUGGUGCAGUUCCCGGAACUACAUCAAUCACAAACUCGAUCUCUCUCUCCGGCGGCAUUGUCGUCAACUUCGGGAGAAACACAUCCGAAAACUCGCGGACUAUAUGGAUAUCCUCGAGUCCCGGCGCCACCGUAGGCACCUCCACAACCGUUGCCAGAAAAGCAACACAUCCUCUACUCAUCAGCUGUCGAGCCCUCGUCGAAGAUAUCCAAGUGGCAAACAACGUACUCCUACAGCCUCUAAAAGUGAACUCCUCCUGACCUGGCUCACGGAACGUCACAAUCCUCGCUCCACAAUCAAUAGUAGCAUAGUACUGCACCAGCCAAUCCGUGCCGAGCACAACGUCAAAGUCCUGUAGCUGCCCUAAAACCAACAGAUCUGCGGGUAUGAUCCACGAAUCUAACUGCAUCGGACACGACUAACAACACUACAACCUAUAAAACAUGGUCGGGGAUCUACACCUCUCGUGCCUGUGACAAUGACCCUAACUCUAGACCAUGCAACAAUACAAAUGCUCGGCUAACAAAAGAAUGCGAUGCACCAGUAUCAAAAAAGUGUACGAGCUCUAAUGCCGGAAAUCAAAAUGAUACCUACCACCACUGAGUCGGCUGCUGUAGAGUCCUCCACCUGAGCUGCAUAUACCCUGCAACUCGGAGCCUGCUGUCGCCGCUCACCCUGACGCGGCACAGAUACUCUAUCCUCCUGGCGGUAACUCAGUGGUGCUCUGUAAGACUGCUGGGGUGCUGGCUGAGCUGAUGCUGUCGAUGGUGCUGGUGAUGCUGCUCGGGGACAAGCUAACCUCAUGUGUCCAGGCUAACCAUAAGUAAAACAACGGCCCUUUCUCUGCUAGCACUAUCGGGACCAAUGUGGUCCCCCACAGAUCACGCACUGUGGAGUCCGCUGUGCCUGUCGUUGCUGACGGGAUCCCCUGGAACGUUGACGCCCCGAAGACCCACGACCCUGAGAACGUGAUCGUGGAGGCCUCGGCGGUCGUCUGCUACUCGACUGUCCUCCGUCCUCUGGAAAGGGGAGCUUCCUGUCCUAACUCUGCCCCGGCACCUGAGUCCUCUCCCGAAUAGAUGCAUCACCUCUCUCUACCCACAGGGUCUGCUCGAUAGAUGCGUCCAAGGUCCUCAACCUCUGCGCUUGCAUCAACCGAAAAAUCUCCAGUCUUAAACGUCGCUCAAAAAGGUAUACCCUGUGCGCUUCAUCUCUGGCCACAAAAGGAAUACAGUUCAGGAGUCGAGUAAACUCACGGAUGUACUCCUGAACUGUCCGCUCCCCUUGCUGGAUCUUCUUCAGAUCCUUCUCGAGUUUCUGCUUUACACUGUUGGAAAAAUACACCCCAUGCAGCAUGCCACAGAACUCAUCCCAUCUCAUCUACGAAGCUACCAGCCUAUAGUCUCGCCUCACUCUCUCCACCAAGCAUGUGCAUCACCUGCCAAGCAGUGAACUCCUAGGUGUACCUGCUCCCACUCAGGAAUGAACAGAUCCUCAAACAGUUUCUCCAUCGCGCUGACCCAACCCUCAACAACCGAGGCCUCUGUGCAACUGCCAUCAUAGGUCGGCGGAUCAAAACGACGAAAGUGGGCAAGUCUCUCUGCCAUCCACUCCUGCUCAGCCUCAGUCAGCUGUGGUGCCUCACCAAAAGAUGCAACUGGCGCUGCGGGAACUGCCGCUGGUCGAGGUACUGCUGCAGCUGGUGCGGCCGCUCGAGUAGUCGGGGGUGAAACUGGCUGCUCUGGUGUUGGACUCUACGGCGGAGCUAACAUCUCACACAUCAUCUGUAAUAACGCCCCCUGCUGCCUCGUCACCUCGGUCAAGGCAGCUAACUGCUCACUAAGAUCAGGUGAUGCACUAACCUCUGGUUGUGCACUGGGCUCUGCCUGCUCAGACAUCUCAGGAGGUGCGGCACGAUCCCUGGUCGACGGUCGACCUCGGCGACGAUACAUAGCUGUCAAGAAAGAAAAUAAGGGUCAGAUAAAAGACAAACACUCUCGACCCAAUCAAACGAAAGUCUAGAAGGCGGCCCCUAUUUCUCCUCAAAAUUAUGUCGUCUGCAGCCAACAUAAUUUUUUUGGACCGAAGCAGGCACUCCUUCGAUCACUCACUCCGAUCUAGAAGGAGGUAGAAUAAUCAAUCACUGACUUUCGCGAUAAAUCACGCCUCUCACGUCUUGCCUUCCUAAGGUUUGCCAAACCUAGGGUUCUUAAGUUCCAACGACCUAAUGCUAAGCUCUGAUACCAACUUAAUCUGUCACGCUCCGGAUUCCUCGUUUUCCCGGGCACGCUAAUAGACCCGCCGUAUACAAAGGAAUUUUCCUUGUAUACGAAGCGAAGCUGUACCUGUACCUGAAUCAUACAACACUACAAUCAGUAGUAUAAAGCUGUAGAAAUAAAACAUAACUGAACAAUAGAAGUUCACUAUACAUACAUAGCAUCCUGGUAUACAAAAAUUACUCGCUCCAGCGAGAUACAACAUCAGUAUGUAUAAUAAACCAAACACUACAACUACCUGCAGCUGAUACUCCUCUAGCUGAGUAACUUGGCAGGAAGGGCUCUAACUCGCAACACCCUUUCCGCGAUCAGAAUCAGCAGUAGCAGCAGCCGCAACCGAAGGCUCUGCAAAAGAGGGGUAACAAAUGGGCGUGAGAACUACUGCAAAAACAAGUAGUCCUCAGUAAGUACCGCCCUCAACUCAUCAGCUCACCUACCAAGUCUACAGAUUAUAUGCUCAAAUGAUAGUAAAGAAACUAGAAACAGUCUACAUUUACAUGCCACUAUACUAUCAUGAACCGACAUUACUAUCUGUAGAAUAAUGCGAUCUCCGACCGAAUCUCACUAGGGACUGUGUACACACCCGUCCCAGGGACUAUGAAUACACCCGUCCUGCCUGUCGAAGCUAUACAGCUACCUCCACACUAAGCAGUCCGUGAAGAGCAAGUCCAACCAAGACACAUUGACACCAACGCAACAGCACAAAAUCUGACUCCAGAGUGGCACUCGUGGGCGCUACCCAACCGAGUAUGGAAGCGUAUCUCUGUCAAGCUCAAUCAGGCUCUCACAGGCUAAAAUCCAAGUAAAUAGAGUCCAACUGGUCUAACAACCAAUCUCACGUGCCCACGGCAUAAUCUGAUGUAAAAACAGCAAUCUGGGUCCACCGUCAACUUCAACGGUACCCGACAGUCCGGAACAGCAUAAACACUGAUGUAAAAAUAAGCUCGGCAUCUCAGCACGAGCGUAAAUACAUUCUACACUAUUCUGGGUAUCCACCGCCCACAAACUGCGGUGAUACAAACAAACUACGGCUCCUAGAGCUAAAUUUGGUAGUUUUAACAUAUGACAGUGUAGAAGCGCUAGUUUUUUCCUAAGUCAAUUCCAAGUCCAACAUAUAUAAUUUAUCUAACUUACUACAGCAUGCUCUAAAUUCAGAUUUCAUUUAACAUGCUAAUCGAUGAAUUCGAGCUAAAAACAGGAUAUACAACUGAUGAAAAUAUACAUGUUGACUACGCAUACACUUAGGAGGAGAAUCCGAUGAUUAACCCACCUUAAGUGCUAAAUCCAUGGCAGCGAGGAGUCGCCGGAAUCCCUGUCAAUCUCUGCCACAACCAGCAACCAAACAAAACCAAGGUCUACACAAAAAUCCACCAAAAUCCAUCAAUAUUUCAAAAAUUCAGCACUUAAGCUAAUAUCAUCCAAUUCCAAUGUCAACUUUACCUUCAAAACUCGAAUUCAGAUGAGAAGCAGUCUCAAAUCCAGAGAACUAUGAUGGAGUAUCAAUCUCAGGUUGCAAUUCCAGCUCCCUCCAAGAAUUAGUCCAAGAAAAUCAAAGAAACUCAAUUUCAGGUCCAAAAUCCGAGCAGCUCAGGAAAAU